rnacentral:tRNA from 1 species
UCCCCGAUAGCUCAGUGGUAGAGCAGUUGACUGUUAAUCAAUUGGUCGCAAGUUCGAAUCUUGCUCGGGGAGCCA